rnacentral:rRNA from 1 species
CCUACGGGAGGCAGCAGUGAGGAAUAUUGGUCAAUGGGCGGACGCCUGAACCAGCCAAGUCGCGUGAGGGAAGACUGCCCUAUGGGUUGUAAACCUCUUUUGUCAGGGAGCAACGCCGGCUACGUAUAGCCGGACUGAGAGUACCUGAAGAAAAAGCAUCGGCUAACUCCGUGCCAGCAGCCGCGGUAAUACGGAGGAUGCGAGCGUUAUCCGGAUUGAUUGGGUUUAAAGGGUGCGUAGGCGGAAUGCCAAGUCAGCGGUAAAAUCGCGGGGCUCAACCUCGCUCCGCCGUUGAAACUGGCGUUCUUGAGUGGGCGAGAAGUAUGCGGAAUGCGUGGUGUAGCGGUGAAAUGCAUAGAUAUCACGCAGAACUCCGAUUGCGAAGGCAGCAUACCGGCGCCCAACUGACGCUGAAGCACGAAAGCGUGGGUAUCGAACAGGAUUAGAUACCCGAGUAGUC